UACGGAGGGGGCAAGCGUUGUUCGGAUUUACUGGGCGUAAAGGGCGCGUAGGCGGCCUCUGCAAGUCGACUGUGAAAUCUCCGGGCUUAACCCGGAAAGGUCAGCCGAUACUGCAGGGCUAGAGUGCAGAAGGGGCAACUGGAAUUCUCGGUGUAGCGGUGAAAUGCGUAGAUAUCGAGAGGAACACCUGCGGCGAAGGCGGGUUGCUGGGCUGACACUGACGCUGAAGCGCGAAAGCUAGGGGAGCGAACGGG
rnacentral:rRNA from 1 species